CAAAUCUGGGUGGAUUUGAACCACCAACCUCUCAGCUUCAUAAGAAGAAGAGCGCUCUACCAUUUUGAGCUUACAGAUCU
rnacentral:tRNA from 1 species